GCGGCGGACGGGUGAGUAAUGCCUAGGAAUCUGCCUAGUAGUGGGGGAUAACUUGCCGAAAGGUAAGCUAAUACCGCAUACGUCCUACGGGAGAAAGCAGGGGACUCUUCGGAGCCUUGCGCUAUUAGAUGAGCCUAGGUCGGAUUAGUUAGUUGGUGAGGUAAUGGCUCACCAAGACUGCGAUCCGUAACUGGUCUGAGAGGAUGAUCAGUCACACUGGAACUGAGACACGGUCCAGACUCCUACGGGAGGCAGCAGUGGGGAAUAUUGGACAAUGGGGGAAACCCUGAUCCAGCCAUGCCGCGUGUGUGAAGAAGGUCUUAGGAUUGUAAAGCACUUUAAGUUGGGAGGAAGGGCAGUUAACUAAUACUUGUCUGUUUUGACGUUACCGACAGAAUAAGCACCGGCUAACUUCGUGCCAGCAGCCGCGGUAAUACGAAGGGUGCAAGCGUUAAUCGGAAUUACUGGGCGUAAAGCGCGCGUAGGUGGUUCGUUAAGUUAGGAGUGAAAGCCCCGG
rnacentral:rRNA from 1 species